rfam:Blautia sp. CAG:52 genomic scaffold, scf227
UGAUACCAAGGUCAAAAGGUCAGAAAUCUGACGCAAGCUUGCUUGCAGGAAGAUUUCUGAUCUUGGGACCUGCCAAAAACAUGAGUAAGUAGCCAUUUUUCGAAGAAAAAUGAGCGAAUUACGAAUGUUUUUGAGGAUUGUGGAAGUACGAAGUACGGAACAAUCCGGUAUCA